CAUGUGUUCUCUCCUCCUCCUCUGUUCCCAUGUGUUCUCUCCUCCUCCUCUGUUCCCAUGUGUUCUCUUCUCCUCCUCUGUUCCCAUGUGUUCUCUCCUCCUCCUCUGUUCCCAUGUGUUCUCUUCUCCUCCUCUGUUCCCAUGUGUUCUCUCCUCCUCCUCUGUUCCCAUGUGUUCUCUCCUCCUCCUCUGUUCCCAUGUGUUCUCUUCUCCUCCUCUGUUCCCAUGUGUUCUCUUCUCCUCCUCUGUUCCCAUGUGUUCUCUUCUCCUCCUCUGUUCCCAUGUGUUCUCUUCUCCUCCUCUGUUCCCAUGUGUUCUCUUCUCCUCCUCUGUUCCCAUGUGUUCUCUCUUCUCCUCCUCUGUUCCCAUGUGUUCUCUCCUCUUCUCCUCCUCUGUUCCCAUGUGUUCUCUCCUCUUCUCCUCCUCUGUUCCCAUGUGUUCUCUCCUCUCCUCCUCCUCUGUUCCCAUGUGUGUUCUCCUCCUCUGUUCUCUCCUCCUCCUCUGUUCCCAUGUGUUCUCCCCUCUUCUCCUAGUGUCCAGAGAUAGAAGGAACACAUACACUGUAUCACAACCGGCCGUGAUUGGGAGUUCCAUAGGGCGGCGCACAAUUGGCCCAGCGCCGUCCGGGUUAGGGGAGGGUUUGGUCGGGGUAGGCCGUCACUGUAAAUAAGAAUUUGUUCUUAACUGACUUGCCUAGUUUAAAUAAAAUGUUAAAUAAACAAAGGCUGCAGAAUGUGACCUCUGAGAUGUCUGACCUCUCCGUUUAGUCAGGGAUGUCAUGUUGUCAUCCUCGCUAUCACGGCACCAGUAAUUGCCACAGUGAAAUUUAUUUGUGAAACACCAUUUAGUAACUUAUUGUUUUCCACAUAUAUUGUCCUCUUAAAAAAAAAAUAAACAUCCAAAUAGUACAGAAAUACUUGUUUAUUUGUUCUUGUCUUUUAUCAACAGGACUUGGGGAUGGACUACUGUGUGGUCGCAGAAUCCUUUGAGACAUCGGUGCCUUGGGACAGGGUAUUGGACCUUUGCCAGAAUGUCAAAGAGAGAAUUGUCAGAGAGUGUAGAGAAAGAGGAGUCCAGUUUCAACCUUUGACCUCAUGCAGAGUGACUCAGACCUAUGACUCUGGUGCAUGUAUAUACUUCUACUUUGCCUUCAACUACAGAGGACUGGCGGAUCCAGUACACACAUACCAACAAGUGGAGCAUGCUGCCAGAGAGGAGAUCCUAGCCAAUGGAGGAAGCCUCUCGCACCACCAUGGAGUUGGGAAACUUCGGAAGGAGUGGAUGAAGGACAGCAUCUCUAACGUGGGCGUCGGGAUGCUCAAGUCCGUUAAGGAAUACGUGGACCCGGAAAACAUUUUCGGCAACCGAAACCUCCUCUAAUUUACAUGACAUUUUAUAACAGCCUCUUGGAAUAAUGGUUACUAAAUGUGACAAGAAGUAUCAAUGUCUUUCACCUUCGGUAUGACUUAGUCAGUUGUGCAGUCAACAUCAGUCAGAUAACUUGCCUUGCAUUACAUUACUGCACUUAACAUGCUGUAACAAUAAUUGUCUGUGAUUCAUUUCGAAGCUCAUGGCAUCAAGUCCUCAGUAAUGUCCUCAACCAGGAUGAUAUGGUGAAUGAAGCAGUCAGGUCCUCAGUAAUGUCCUCAACCAGGAUGAUAUGGUGAAUGAAGCAGUCAGGUCCUCAGUAAUGUCCUCAACCAGGAUGAUAUGGUGAAUGAAGCAGUCAGGUCCUCAGUAAUGUCCUCAACCAGGAUGAUAUGGUGAAUGAAGCAGUCAGGUCCUCAGUAAUGUCCUCAACCAGGAUGAUAUGGUGAAUGAAGCAGUGUAUCAUACUAACGAUAGUACUGUUGAUCAUUUCAGUCACGUGUAUACAACACGCCGUAAGAAUGGCCUUUUCAUAUUGUACAUGAUGCAGGUUAACUUUUUGUGAUCCCAUAUUUGCCUACAAUUUAAUUGUUUCCUAUAAUUCUUGCCAAUUUCAUUAACUAGAUAUUUUUUUGGUAGAUGUUUAUUUACCUGUGUUUGGCACUACUUGAACAGUGAGUUCUAGAUGAAUGCUUUUUCUAAAGCUCUGUGCCUUUCUGAAGAUGUCUAUCUUCACCCUUUCCUACACACACACACUGUGGAAGCUUGACUGGUUUGUUUAUGGCAUCCUAUAUCUUCCCUUAUAAUGUGCGUGUCCUUCAUUCUAGAUUUCCUGUUUUCCAGUGGGUCUUUGUUUCUCUACUCAAGCCUUGUAUUACUUAUACUAUUAAUGAUUGCUAAGAGAUGUGUAUUUUGUUGUACCGACCUAGGAGGAUUUAUAUUACGUUGAAAGUCGUGCCUCUGCUGAAAAUGUACCUCAGGGUAAAAAUGUCCCUCAAACCCAAACGUUAAACUGUUUGAAGAAACUAGGAUAUGAUGCUUAACAACUUAUUUUUUUAAUUGAUGUUUUAUUUUAGAUUUGACCUUGCAUGGUCUUUGCCUGUCAUACAGAGUUCAGUUUGUGGACAAUGUACUUGAAUCAUACAUGCUUUUAGUGUGAACAUGUUACAGACGACUGAAUCCCAAAACCCAUGUUUGUACCAAAGACUUUCAGCACAACUGUUUCACUGCUUUAUACAGACCAUGCAAACAUCCUGGAUGUAUAGGUCUGUACAUGCUGUAUAGUUAAAUGUAUGGGACAUUCAUACAGUUAAUACAUGAACCUAUAACCUGAUUAUACAUAUUUUUAUUCAAUUCAGAUAUGCAAAUUUACAAAUAUCAAAAUGUGUUCAUAUUUGUUACUUUAAAUGUUACAUGUUCAUGUCAAUGAAAAACAUUUUCUUUAAAUUCAAUUACAAUAUUUUGUCACUACUUUAAAAAAAAACAAUUGCCUACAAGCAAGAGAGGUUGUAUUUAGACAAAAAUACAUCCGACUAAAUUGUCUGUUCCCUGGUGAGGGUCCCAGUGUUGUGGUUUUGUUGGAAAGGAUACAUUUGAGUGAAAGAUAAUUGUACCUUUGUCACAAUUUACAGAUGAUUAUGCGUAUAAGUUUGGCGUCUUUGCGAGGCAUGUGUCGAUGUUGUGCCCAAUCCUAAAGUCAGACAUGGGAUUCUACUGUACGGUGCUAGACUAAGAUACAUGAAAUGUAUUGCUACCGUUUUCCUGUCACUACUGCGUGACUGUGUUCCUCCUGUUCUCAGCCUCGCAGUUUUCCCACAGUGCAUUGUCACCUUCCUGCCCAAGUAUCUCACCUCUCCACCUCCAAUGAACAUGUUGUCAAAGGAAAUGGUGGAGCCGGAGACAGCGUUUUAUCUAAUCAGUUUCAUGCUUUUACUUCCUGUGAUGGUUCCUGAAAGAGAACUUAAAUGAGAGCUUGAAAUCUGAAUGUUAUGCAUGUACUUUUUUUUGUGUUAUUUUUCAAUUCUUAAAGUUAUUAACAUUUAAGUACCUUUUAUCAAUGAUGUUUGUGCAGUAAAUACAUUGAAAUAAAACAAGCAGUAGUCUGGAUAUUUUUCAGAUAACAGAAUGACACCAAUCGGUUGAAUAGAAAUGCAGUUGACAGGAAAUGUCUCUGUUUGUCCGUGACGUAAUGCAUAUUCAUAAUAAAGUUCAACAUACGAGGUA
rnacentral:lncRNA from 1 species